UGAAUGUAUACUUUUAUUAGAGGGACUGAGGGUUGGAGAGGGAAUCUCCCGUUGGACUGUGGGGUUGAGGGAAAGGGAGUCGUCGGUGGUGCCGGAACUGAGGGAGAAGGAGAGAGGGUGCCGGAACUGAGGGAGGAGGGAGGAACCGUCGGCGACAACUUGGAGUGAAGAAGAUGAAGAGAGUGAAGAAGAUGAAGAGAGAGAGAUGGAUUGUUAUUUUUAGGGAUAUUAUUUACUGUGCAUUAGAGUUAUAUGGCCAAUCAAAUAAUAAUUUAAAGGUUGUAUAGGUGGACCCCAAUUUUACUAAGGUUUGAUUCUCUACAACAAGCCUUAUCACAAAAAUCUUUCAUUUAAUAGCUGUCACCAAUUAUAUUUUGUGAUAUUGGACACACUGGUGAGCCGAAGUGUCUAUUGAAGAAUUUUCCUAAAAUAUAUAUCUAUAAACCUUUAUAAAAAAGAGAAUAAUUCUUUGGGCUUUUGAUAGUUAAUUUACAAAUAUAACCCUCAUUGAGCUAUAACUAAGGUAACAGGUGUGAUAAUUUCUAUAAAACUUUAUUAGCUUUCUUAUUAUAAUUUUUUAUUUAUUUUUUUCCUUUCAAGGGAAUAAUAUUGUUUUAUUGUAUUAAUUUUCUUCUCCCUUAAUUAUAUGCCCUAGAUUGGAUUUCCACUCCUCCAAAACCCUCUUCUUCCCAAAAAGACCACGAUCAGUGCUUCCACACCGCCAACGAUGGGGAGUUUAGGGGGUACUGUUUACACGACCACCACCAUCGCCACCCACAUCAAGAAAUAGGGUAGAGAAACACUACUCCCGAUCGGAUCAACAGGUUUGUCCUUCUAAACACAAUAUAAAAUAUUGAAAUAAAAAGCUUUAACGAAUUCCAAUCGAUUUUAAUCUUUCACUCUUCGCCCCAAAUAUACCAUUUAUUUGAGGGAUUUUCUUCAUUCUAUAACUUUUGUUUGUUUUUUCCUUUAAUUGCUUUCUUCAUUCUAUAACUUUUGUUUGUUUUUUCCUUUAAUUGCUUUCUUCAUUUGCAGACGGAUUGGAGGCCGAGUUGAUGCAGAGCGCCAUGGCUCUUCAACAAGCAAAAAGGUUACUUGCAACAAUACUAUAUGUGGCCGUCGGAAUCGUUGCCUUGAAUUAGGCAGUUGCCCUUACAUGGUCUCUUAUGUCUCAGGAGAAACAUCUACUUCUGGAGUAUUGAUAGAGGAUGUCCUGCACUUGAAAAGGGAAGAUAAAUAUCAGGAACUUGUUGAGGCAUACAUCACUUUCGGUUGUGGAGAGGUUCAAAGCGGUUCAUUCCUUGAUGUUGCAGCUCCCAAUGGUUUAUUUGGGCUUGGAAUGGAGAAGAUAUCAGUACCUAGCAUUUUAUCGAGGGAAGGGUUUAUAGCAAAUUCUUUUUCCAUGUGUUUUGGACAAGAUGGGGUUGGAAGAAUUAGUUUUGGUGACAAGGGCAGUCUCGAUCAGCAAGAGACCCCAUUUAAUUUGAACCCAUCACAGUAAGUGUCCAACAUACAAUAUCAAUGUUACCCAAAUUCGAGUUGGAACAACUUUAUUUGAUGCCAAUCCGGCCAUCUUUUGCUAGAGCAGUUCUUUCCAAGGAUCAAUUGAGACAAGAACUCGAAAUGGAUCCUGACUUGCCUGCUGUUUUGGUAAUGGGAGGUGGUGAAGGAAUGGGACCUGUAAAGAAGACUGCAAUGGCUCUUCGUGAAUCACUUUAUCACAAAGAAGCUGGCAAACCAAUUGGACAGUUAAUUAUCAUAUGUGGCCGAAAUAAAACACUUCUAUCCAGACUUGAAUCUGAAGAAUGAAAGAUUUCAGUCAAGAUUAGAGGUUUCGAAAACCAAAUGGAGAAAUGCAUGGGAGCUUGUGAUUGCAUAAUAACAAAGGUUGGACCUGGUACAAUUGCUGAGGCCUUGAUUAGGGGGCUUCCCAUCAUCCUAAAUGACUACAUUCCAAGACAAGUAAAAAGAAAAAAAAAAGAACUCCACACUUCUGGACACUAUUAAAAUCAACAAACUUUCAUCUAAGCUACUUCAAGAUGACGACAAUGCCACAGAGCAAUGACUUGAAAUACCAACUAAUACCUCAUAUCACAAGAGGUCAAACUAAUUGGACAGCCAAAGUAAUUGUAGUUGAAAAAACUCCUCCACGCCAAUCCAGAAACUCUGUCAAAUAUCAGAAUUUGCUUCUAAUUGAUCCACAGGGAAACCAUAUCGAAGCAACUAUUUAUCAAGCUGAUAUUCAAGCCUUGCAUCAGACAUUGCACAUGACAAAAGCAUACGCAAUUUCUAAUGCUAAUGUCAAAGAUUGCAAAUUGGAUUACAAAAAAUAUGGAGAUCUCCAAUGGGUCAUAACUGGAAAAACUAAAAUUAAAGAGCUCCAAGAAAAUUAUGAUGAUCUGUUGAUGUCUACUUACAACUUUGUGCCUCUUAGUAAUAUACAACAGUAUAUUGAUCUUCCAUCUAAAGAAAUUAAUUUGAUUGCUGCUGUCAUAGACAUUCGUCUUAAACGUCAAAUACACAAUCGUCAUGGAGAAGCUACAAUCCAAGAACUUGUUCUUGUGGAUAAUGAGUUUAACAUAGCUACACUUACAAUGUAGAAUAAUUUUGUUGACAACGAAUGUGCUGCAAUCUCAAACAUCAUUCAUAAGAAACCAAUUAUGAUUGGAACACGACUCAAAGUGGUUUGCUACAAUGGCAUGUCAAUAUCCACAAAAAACUCAAGCUGCUUUUUAAUUGAACCUCAGUUGGAAGUUGCUAAAGAUCUUCGUGCCUGGAUAACUCGAAACAACUGCAUCCUCAAUGAGAGGAUCACUCAAAAAGCAUAUCUUCUUCCUGCAACAAAUCUUUCACCUCCUUCUUCUAAUCAAAUUACUGAUAUAAGCAAGAUAAAUGACAUGUUAAACAUGCAAACAACUUUCUAGGUCAAAGCAAUUGCUAAAGUCACAAAUUAUGGCCAACCAUUUUGGUAUAUGGCAUGUCCCCUUUGUAACAGAAUUACUAGAUCUGAAUAUGGGGAAACUUUUCACUGUCUAUAUUGCAAAAACAAUGAUCUCAAAGCAGUCCCUAGAUGCAGAAUAGAUGUUGAACUUACUGAUUCAUCAGCUUGGAUUACAGCAACUGUAUUUGGGGAAAUUGCAGAAACAUUGUUCUCAUGUAAUGCAACAACCCUGAUGAAUACCAAAAUUAAGGCAAGUGAUAGCAUUCCUAACGAACUUCCCGAACUACAUGACAACAAAGAGAUACUAGCUUACAUUAAGGCAGUCAAACAGGACUCCACUGAAGGAUGGAAAUUCAACAUCACUUCGUUUCUUAAUACAACUCCACUCUCAAAUGAAAAAUUAAUCUCUAAUGCUUCAACUUCCCAUCCUAAUCCAACUCCACUUGUGAUUCUUCCUGAAAAGAAACACAAAGUUACAGCUGACGAUGAGGAGAAGAAACAUGAAACUACUAACGAAGACGGAAACAACCACAAGGCUUCUAAUGAAGAUCAGAUGCAGUAAAAAGUUUGGGUGUGAUAGAAUUGCUCUUUUGUUACUCUUUUGAAAAUUAUUUUGAAAGUUCCAUGAUGGAAUACAUAUGUAAAUAGGCCACUUGUUGGAACACUAUAUCAUAGGCUUCCACUUUUGAAAGCUCCAUCACUACUGGAUGGAAUGAAUAUGUAAAUAAAUAGGCCACAACUUAGGAACACUUUAACAAUCUUUUGAGUUCCAUUACAACUUGAAAUGAAUCAUGUUGCAACAUUAAAAAAUUUUGCAACCUUAAAUUAUUAUGAAGUAAAUUAUUAUAAUGUCAAUAUUAC